rnacentral:rRNA from 1 species
AUGGAAGCCAUCGCGGAAGAGCUUGGUGUUUCUGUCGAGGUCCUGCUGCGGGGCCUUCCGCCGCGCCUCCGGCACGCCGCGGAUGGCGUCAUCCUGCGCCAGUUCGCGCGGCUGGGCUGCCGCGCCGACUACCUUCGAGUCCGCGACCCGGAGACCCCGGAUCUGAUGCGGCUUCUCCACACCUUCACGCGCGUACGGGGCCAUGUGCCCUACAUGCCUCUGUGGGAUGCAUCGAACAUCUAUCAUGCUUUGCUGGAGGAAGGAGGACCGGCGACUUCGCACCAUCGCCAGGUCAUCAUCACGAACCCCGACGUCCUGCUCGCCAAGUACCGCUCCUAUCGCGCUAUCGUUGAGCAGAUGGACCUGCUAGACUCUGUGAGCCAGUCUGUCGAGGAGGUGCUGACCUUGCGUCUGCAAGCACAGUUCGAGGCUUGUGUCGCAGAUCUGCGGUCAACCAAGGCAAAUCUGCAGCAGCAUGCCCGGCGUCUAGUGCUCCUCUAUCUUCGCCAAGGUGACAUUUUGGAAGCCAAGCAUUAUCUGCAGAUAUGCUUUCCCAGGGUGUCCCAGCGUAUUGAUAAUAAUCCAGCUAGGGCCUUUGAAGCUUAUCAACUUCUUCUCACAACUCUCCAGGAUGAAUUUGUUGUGUUUCGCAGCAGAUAUCGUAAAGAAGAGGGAUUACCUCCUGGGCUGACUCAGAGUGCGAACACUGAUAGGCGCCGCACCUCUAAACUAAGUUAUCUGAUGGAAGUCCAAGUUCAAUUCAUUUUACCAUAUUUGAGAAUGAACUCAGAUAGCCUUCCUCAGUUGCAGUUGCCACCUGUUACUGUUGUAUUCUGA